CGCUGCGCGGCUGCAUCGAGUCGCCCGUUCGGAAAAGACCUUACCGCUCGUCACGAAGGACAAAACUGAUCUUCGAGCAUGGCGGGUCACGGGAACGAACCGGAGUUCAAAGGUCUCCUGAAGUACUUCAACUCGACAACGAAUCAAGGUCGCGCGAACUUCGCCAUGGCAACAUACGCCAGUUUGGCAGCGAUCGGAUUCUACAUAUACUUCAAACCCAAGAAAACGACUGACCCCAGUGCAGCGAAGAAAUGAGUGGGAAUGGCCGACUUAGAGGACAUCCAUCGCUCUUAGUACAUAAAAUGUCGAAUUCUGAUGGCAAAUAUAUCUUCUGUCAAAGCGAAUAAAGAGUGAAAAACCCCA